GUGAGGAAUUUUCCGCAAUGGGCGAAAGCCUGACGGAGCAAUGCCGCGUGAAGGAUGAAGGCCUAUGGGUUGUAAACUUCUUUUCUCAGAAAAGAAUUAUGACGGUAUCUGAGGAAUAAGCAUCGGCUAACUCUGUGCCAGCAGCCGCGGUAAGACAGAGGAUGCAAGCGUUAUCCGGAAUGAUUGGGCGGAAAGCGUCUGUAGGUUGUUUAAAAAGUAUUCUGUCAAAGAUUAGGGCUUAACCCUAGAUAGGCAGAAUAAACUUUUAAGCUAGAGUUUGGUAGAGGCAGAGGGAAUUCCCGGUGGAGCGGUGAAAUGCGUAGAUAUCGGGAGGAACACCAAAGGCGAAGGCACUCUGCUGGGCCAAUACUAACACUGAGAGACGAAAGCGAGGGGAGCAAAUGGGAUUAGAAACCCUGGUAGUCC
rnacentral:rRNA from 1 species